rnacentral:misc_RNA from 1 species
ACGUCAUUACAGCCUUGAUCUUGCUCUUGAUCUUGAUUGGUCAGUCUCACUUGCUUACCGUUUGAUAUUGGGUGGUGGGUCAUGACAGGAAAUUUGGCGGUGACAAGAGGAACGCAGGCUCAUUAAUUUAGCCAAAUAAUGAACUUUUGGAAUUGAUAUCUGUCAAGGACUCGAGCAACUACUGGCAGUCUGGCAUGGGUGAGUGAUGAUGUGAUAUCCUUUGUUUUGUAUCCCCGCCAAAAUCAAGCCAUAUUAGUUCAACUCUGCGUGUCAAUUCUGCUAAUCCCAGCCAAUAACUGGAUUAAGUCACACCUAAUCACCUGAAAGGUUGUGAUGAAUUCAAAUACUGCAUUAGUCAUAUCUAAUCACCGAAUGAGGAGAGCCAACUUGAACCUCGCUCUUUAGGGGGGUAAUGUUUGAAUGGAGCGAGGAAAGUGUAUUUAAAUGGAGUGGGG